GAUGAAGAAUGUAGCGAAAUGCGAUACGUAAUGUGAAUUGCAGAAUUCAGUGAAUCAUCGAAUCUUUGAACGCAUAUUGCGCUCUCUGGUAUUCCGGAGAGCAUGCUUGUUUGAGUAUCAGUAAACACCUCAACUUCCAUAUCUUUUUUGAAAUGGGAGUUGGACUUGAGUGAUCCCAACGCUUUUCCUCACCGAAAAGUGGCGGGUUACUUGAAAUGCAGGUGCAGCUGGACUUUUCUCUGAGCUAUAAGCAUAUCUAUUUAGUCUGCCUAAAAACAGAUUAUUACCUUUGCUGCAGCUAACAUAAAGGAGAUUAGUUCUUGUGCUGACUGAUGCAGGAUUCACAAAGACAGGCUUCGGCCGACUUUGUAAACUCGAUCUCAAAUCAAGUAAGACUACCCGCUGAACUUAAGCAUAUCAAUAAGCGGAGGA
rnacentral:misc_RNA from 1 species